AAGACACCUGCUAUAAUUUGUCUGUGACCUAACUUGCAGGAAGAACUUUGAAAAAUCAUGAGAACUAAAAUUAACUUUGAUCUUUUAAUUAAUUGUUUUUGUUUUGAUAACAGAGUGGUUGACAAACAGUGAUGUGUGGCGACUUGUUGAUGGAAGGCAGUUUUUAUUCGAACUGUUGUCAUGUUUGUAAGUUGCAUCAAUCCGAUGUUGAUGUGAAGCGAUGCAGCAAAUGUCGAUUGAUUUCAUAUUGUUCUGUGAAACACCAAAAGAAACAUUGGCCAAAGCAUAAAGAUCUGUGCAAAAGUAUUGUGAGAAUAUGCCACAAUAGCGGGGUGUCGGCGUUAUUUGAAACUCCCAAUGCGCACAUGACGGCGAGAGAAUGGUGUACUCUUCGCACGAAAUAUAUGGCUGCUGCUGAAGUCUUUGUAGCGAGAAAACUAUGUAAAUACGAGCGUGAGAUGUUUUUCUUCCCAAGAGUUUGUAGGGUCUGCAAAAUGUUCAAUAACGGCGAUUUGAUUGAUUGUGGCGAUUGUCUGUCAGCAAGCUACUGUUCAGUUGACCAUCAGUUAAAAGAUUCAACGAAUCACUCGGGAGUGUGCAGUGAUUUGAAACUUUGUUUGGAAAUUGACACAAAAGUGAAAAAUGAUUUGGAUUUUAGCACUCUAAUGGUGACAAGUCAAGAAGAGUAUACUCUUUUGCCCAAGAACACAAUAGAUUUUAUACAGUCCCAUAUUACGUUUGAUAAACUGGUUACUCUGCCUCCACAGUUGGUGUUCGCGUAUGUGUCAGAGCUUUUCUCAUGUCCUUUAACGCUGUUGUAUGCCCUCGAGAGAGAGAGAAUUAUGAGAGCCUCCCUUAUUGUGCAUGUUGUUGGUGCUAGUUACCUUGAGUGCUCCUUUUUCUUCUCUUGGGAAAGUGUGUUGCACUGGUUACCACAUGUAAAAUAUUUAUCUGUUGUGUUCAUUGGACCAGAUGUAAUUGAGGGUAAAAGUUUCACGUUGUGCUCGGGAUGUGAAAAAAAGGGAAAGGGGAUCAACAUUAAACUUUACAGUGGCAUGUAUCAUGACUUCGUUAAGUCAGUUACUUAUGAGACUCCAUCUAUAAUCGUGGCAUACAAUAGUGGUAUUGAUGAACAGAGUUCUCACGACACAUGGGGCCAGUCCAUACCAUUUUUUCUGAAAUAUGAUGCAGUACCGUUUGUUUUAACUUCAUAUACGUUAUCGGAGGCAAUAUCAGAUUUAAAUAAAAUAUGCGAAAUUGCAGGUUGUGAAAUUACUAUUUCUGUUUCCUGUGAAAGAAACCAAUUUUCAAGCCAACGACCUUACCGAGAUUGGGAGACAGACCCCUUAUGCACAUUUUGCUAUAACAACUACUUGAGUAUUGUAAAGCGUGGAAGUGAGAGUACAAAAUAAUGUAGAGGGCAACAAAAUAGUUGUCUGACUGAAUGGCUUAAGGACAGUAUUUGUGCUGUAUGGGGUGUUAUUAUAGGUAACGUCUGAAUAAGAACAUAAGUGUACAUUGAUUAAAAUAACUAUGUGCUUGACAUUUCAGUAAGUCAGUUGGUUUGGGGCCAGUUACUAGACAAUAGUACUCUUUUCUCGAGUGUCGCAUGCUCAUUGUGUUUUCUGUUAUGUAGGUACGUGCAGAGCCUUGUCAAUUGCAGCUAGCUGCACACUUGCAAACUGCCCCUACUACUCCUUGGUGCCUCAGUUUGUCAAUGACAAAGCUAUUUUCUUAAAGUGAUACAUCGUGCUUAGGCUACGUCUAGAGACUGUAAUUAUUGUUAAGAACUUUGCUAUGUUUUUUAUGACUUUAAUAGUUUAUAUCACCAUUGCAGUGUUUGUAUUGUAAUGCAGUGUACCUGAAAUUUCUCUUUGGUAAUAAACAGGUCUUAUAAAAAUAUUGAAAAUUAUACACUGUUUACACAAUCUAGAGGUACUAGCCGUAGAAUUUUUUCAGUUGCGAGUGUACCUAGAUAAAGAGGGUUGUGAUGACAAAAUCAGUGGUUAAAUUUAUGUAGGUGAUUCCUGGCAGCAAACCAAGAAAGGAAAUACGCAUAAUAACAUGUAGAUUGAAGUGCAAUUAGAUAUUAAACAGAGCAUGUGUUUUAAAAAUUGUAUAGUCUGUAUUAAAGUAGCAUUUGUGGCUCUAAGGGCAGACCCCUCAGUUGCCACAUAAUAAUUAAUUUUAGUGUUAUCACUUGUAACUACUUACUGUACAUAUCAGGUAUUGCAUUGACACAAUGUGUUGUCUACACACACCAAAUUUACAGUCGAGUUGGUGGCCGAUGUGGACUGUAAUUGUAAAUGCCUUUAUGGUCACUGCCAUUAGCCAUUGCGCCAAGUGUCAACUUGGAUUGCACAGAUAACAUCCACAUUUUGGAAAUUAUCUGUGAAUACUUGCUUUUCAGAGACCACAAGAAGAAGUAAAUUUAUAAAGAACCAUUCAGGUCAUGCAACCUCUACUAUGAAUGCUUUCGAGGGAAAUUUGCAUGGAGCAGGAGCAGUAGCUUUACAGAAAACACACACACACAGAGGUUGCAUGGGGAGAAGAGCUGUGUUAUUGAAAAUGAUUAAAAUAACCCCAUCACCCAGAUUCAAGAUACAAUUAAAAAUAAAGAAAUGGCUCUAAAACCUACCAGCCAAUGUUGCACAAACCUAAACCAACAGAAAGAUUAUUAUCGUGAAGAAUGCCCAGAGGAGACUACCACUCUGGAAAGUGCAGCUGCGCUCAGAAGGUUGAGUGGUGGUGGUAAUGGGGUAGAGGGCCCAAUGGAAAACACUGCUGACUGUGCAUGGGACUCGACCUGCUGCUCCCUGGCAGGUGAUGGAUGGCGGCUGCCGAUGUGGUGCUAAGUCCCAGGGAGGGAAUUUUAAGUGCUGAUAGCCGCAAGUGUGGACUAUAGGUUCCCGUGAGGAACUUAGUGCUGGUGGCAGUUGCAGCAUGGUCUGAUACUUGUGGGUGCUGCUGGCGAUGUGCAGUCGUCUUACUGUCCGGCAUUGCCUUGGCGUCGUGAUGGUGCUGCUGGACUCUGGCGACAAGAGUGCUUAUGCCUAAAAAUUAAGGCAUAUUUAUAUAGUCCUGAGGCACACAUUUGUUGCACUAAACCCUCACACCUAGUCACAUCGCUCAGAAGGAGAGAUUCUCUGUGGUGUGAUGACAUCAACCUGUCCCUAUGGUCAUUACAGCUGUGCAGUGCAGUUUUCCACUGAGCACAACUAGUCUCAUCUCACAGUCCUUUACUUGUAUGUUAUUCUGACUCUAUUGCAGCUGUUGAUCUGUGACUGCUAAGGCAGUACUUUAUAAAUUUGCUCAGUGUUCUCAGUAUGCUCUCGCAAAACAGCUUCUAAACUGCAUCAUAGAUAUGGAAAGUUUAUAGGAAAAUUAAGAGGCAAACUGGUUUUCAUACCACAAAUUCAACUCAUUCAGCUACCAUUCAGAUUUAAAAGGCAUAAGAUGAGGGCAGUUGGAAUAUUGACAAAUUGUUUUUUCCGCACAGACAACUUGGCGUGCCAUGUUUGCAGGUUCAACAAUCCCAAGUGUCUUUGCACCCAAAAGUAAAACAGUUAGAUGCUGUACAAGUGAGAUUAUUGCACAAUGUUUCCAAUUCAGAAAACAAAAGGAAAAGAAACCAAACAAAGCAAAGACUUUCAUAUCCUCCUGAGACCUGAGUUUCCUGUCCUGCUGUCAAAUAUUCUGCAUUUUCUGUUGUAAUACCUGUGGCACAUUUGAAUGGACUGUAUGCUGUAGCCAUCUGGUGGGAGAAACAGUCACUACGAUUACUUGGCACCAAGUAGCAGCUUUGUUUACAAUGUGUUACAAUGGCAGGUGAGUUCUCCAUCAUUAUUGUGUAUUUUUCGAAAUUUAUUUUAUGGAAAAAAGGACCUAUUGGAGACAGUAUCUAUAAGUGGUGCUUAUACAAUCUUUCUGUGCAAUAAGGUUUGGUAGUACUGUAUAUUUCCAUAAAUUAUCGUUGCAAAACAGUAAUGUCCACUGUAGUGGACGCUGGGACUUGAAGUCACAUUUCUGAGCACUAUUUCGUAGGCAUUAGUGGUGAUUACCUUCGCUAAUUUCCAAUACAUUUCGUGUUGUGACUGCUGCUCAGUGACAUUAUCUGAUACACCACUAUAAUUAUUUUCUCUAAGGAAAGUAGGCACUAUGUUAAAACAAUCAUUUUCUUUAAGGAUACAGAUCAAAGCUAAGUUCAGAAGAAAUUUUAGAACUUCUCUUGAAUGGAGACAUGUCAGAUCUUGAGAUUAGUGAGGAGGAGGAUGGUGAUUUUGAUCUGGCAGAUGAUGGUGUGCAGCAACGCAAUGUUCCUUCCCCAAAUGAACAUAGUAGCAGCAGUACUGAUAAUUCUGAUGAUGCCGAGAGUUCUUCACAGAAUUGCAAGAUGUUUUGGGAGAAAUGCGAAAGGUUUGAGGGACUCCAGGCUACCUUCUCACCCACGGAAGUUGCAGAACAUAAUGAGAAGCAGAUCAUGGACUACUUUCAGCAAUACUUUGACUUGCCCUUUUAUUAGGAUACGUCUGAACUUAACAAUAUGAGAUAUUUACAGCAGACUGGAAGGUCUUUAAAGCUGUCUGCCAAGGAAUUGCAGGUAUUUAUUGGAGCAACAAUACAAAUGCCUUGUUUGAGAUACCCUAGAGUUAGGAUGUACUGGGGUAAAACAACAAGAGUUAUUAGCAUUACUGAAAUCAUGACUCGAGACCGAUACUUCACCAUUAGAAGUAAUUUGAAGGUGACAGACGAUAAUGCUGUAACAGAGGAAACUAGAAGGAAAGAUAAGUUGUGGAAAAUAAGGCCACUUUUAGAAUGUGUAAAGAGAGCAUGCCUCAGUUUACCUCGAACUCCUGAAGUGGCAGUGGAUGAACAAAUGAUCCCAUUUACUGGAGCAUGUGCAAUAAAAAAAUUUGUCAGGGGAAAGCCAAAUCCUGAAGGGCUUAAAAAUUUUAUGUUGGCUGCUCCUUCAGGACUAGUCCUUGACUUUGAGAUUUAUCAUGGUAAAGGAACAUUCCCAGAAGCUAUUGGUCAACAAUUAAAACAAGGAAUAGGAGCCUCGGCAGUCCUCAGGCUUUGCCAGAAUCUUCCAGAAGGAACACAUGUGUUCUUUGAUAGGUAUUUUACCUCUGUUCCUUUACUGGAAUCAUUGGCUGAAAAAAAACUUGCCUGCCACUGGAAGUCAUGAAGUCAAGAAUACCCAGAGCAGUCCAUCUGACAGCAGACAAGAUUCUUGCAAAUCAAGGAUGUGGUUCUGUUGACCAGACAGUGAGAAAAGACAAACACAUUUCUAUUGUAAAAUGGUAUGUCCAAAAGCCAGUCAUAACUGCAUCGACAAAGGUUGGGAAGAACCCUAUGAAUCAAUGUAAAAUGUGGUCGAAAAAAGAUCGGAGAUACAUUCAGGUUCCCUGUCCAGCAGUAAUCAGCUGCUACAAUAAAAAUACGGGUGGCAUAGACCUGAUUGACAGAAUGAUGAGAUUUUACAGGAUCUGCACGAGAACCAGAAAGUGGACUGUAAAAACUAUUUUUCAUUUCAUAGAUCUGGGAAUUGCAAAUAGCUGGAUUCAGUACAGAAGUGACCGAAUUAAGAACGAUGAGCCAAAGAAGAAUAUGCUGCAGUACCUUGAUUUCAAAAUUAGAAUUGCUUAAGAAUGAUGAGCCAAAGAAGAAUAUCCUGCAGUACCUUGAUUUCAAAAUUAGAAUUGCUGAGCAUUUGUUAAGGGGCCAAGAGGAACAACAUUCUGAUGAAGAUGAUGAGGAAUCAACUCCUAAAAGGCGAAGAUUAUUGCCGCCACAGUCACCUUCACCUUCUGUAACCCAUUUGCCAGGAAUGACUGGGUUGACAAAUAGCACGAGGUGUAAGAACAGUGGCUGCACGAAGAAAACCAAAAUAAAGUGCAAAGGUUGUUCAGUUUUCCUCUGUCUAUCAUCACAGAAAAACUGUUUCUCUGAGUAUCAUCAGAAAUAAAACUGUUAAAAUUUGUCAUUUAUUUUACUUUUUAAAUUUAUAUUCAUUAUUUUAAAUUAAUAAUCAGUGAAUGAUUCAAGUAAUAUCUGCCUAAUAAGAUUGU